GAUGAACGCUAGCGGCAGGCUUAACACAUGCAAGUCGAGGGGCAGCAAGGGUAGCAAUACCUGUUGGCGACCGGCAAACGGGUGCGGAACACGUACACAAUCUACCUUUAUCUGGGGAAUAGCCCGAAGAAAUUCGGAUUAAUACCCCAUAAAAUAAACAGAGUGGCAUCACUUAAUUAUUAAAACUACCGGUGGAUAGAGAUGAGUGUGCGUCCCA
rnacentral:rRNA from 1 species